UCCAAGCCAAGGACGAGGUCAUCAUC
rnacentral:piRNA from 1 species